AUCUAUUGAUCUCCAUGUUUCCCCGUCAACUUGACUCUUCUCCUUUGUCGGAGUAAUAUCUUCGCCGCUUAACUUGAAGAGGACCUUUUUAGGUCUUAGGCGGAGCUUCCAACGAGUAGAUUGGGUUAAGAAGUUGAAGACUUGAUGAUGUCUUCUUGUGGCCUUUUUCAGACGGAUCCAGUGGGUUUCAAUUUGCUUUGCAUGGACGUAAUCUGUAGAAAGGGAGUGGUGGUGGUUUCCCGAAGCCGGCGGCGGAGCUGUGUCAACUCGUGCAGUUUGGUCGGCACCGUCCGUUUCAUCUUCUCCUUCUUGCGUGCUAACACGUAUGUUACACGUGGCACCUUCUUUCCUUAGUCUUUUCUAAAAGAAAUCGACUAAAGAGUUGUUAUUUCAAUUAAGGUUGUAAAUGUUGGGGUUGGGCUUCUGUAUUCUCAUCAUUGUACUAUUAGUUAUUGGGCUUUGUAC